GGAUUAAGAGCUUGCUCUUAUGAAGUUAGCGGCGGACGGGUGAGUAACACGUGGGUAACCUGCCCAUAAGACUGGGAUAACUCCGGGAAACCGGGGCUAAUACCGGAUAACAUUUUGAACCGCAUGGUUCGAAAUUGAAAGGCGGCUUCGGCUGUCACUUAUGGAUGGACCCGCGUCGCAUUAGCUAGUUGGUGAGGUAACGGCUCACCAAGGCAACGAUGCGUAGCCGACCUGAGAGGGUGAUCGGCCACACUGGGACUGAGACACGGCCCAGACUCCUACGGGAGGCAGCAGUGGUCUGCAUUUUUUUUCCUGGA
rnacentral:rRNA from 1 species